rnacentral:misc_RNA from 2 species
AACGCACCUUGCGCUCCUUGGUAUUCCGAGGAGCAUGCCUGUUUGAGUGUCAUCGAAUUCUCAACCAUGUCUUGAAUUAGGCAUGGCUUGGACUUGGGAGUUGCUGGCACACGUUGUCAAGCUCUCCUGAAAUGCAUUAGCGAUGUUCAGCAAGCCUGAACGUGCACGGCCUUUUCGACGUGAUAACGAUCGUCGUGGGCUGGAGCGUAGGGUGAGCAGUGAAUCGCUUCUAAUCUAUACCUCAGUUACUAGUCGGUCGUGAGACUGACGAACGCGCGAGGCUUGAUCUUGGACCCCAAGCCUUAGUUACUAGUCGGUCGUGAGGCCGACGAACGCGCAGGGUUAGGACCAUUUGAACUCUUGACCUCAAAUCAGGUAGGACUACCCGCUGAACUUAA